rnacentral:rRNA from 1 species
UUCCUACGGGGGGCAGCAGUGAGGAAUAUUGGUCAAUGGGAGAGAUCCUGAACCAGCCAAGCCGCGUGAGGGAAGACGGCCCUAUGGGUUGUAAACCUCUUUUGUCGGAGAACAAAACCCGGGACGUGUCCCGGACUGCGUGUAUCCGAAGAAAAAGCAUCGGCUAACUCCGUGCCAGCAGCCGCGGUAAUACGGAGGAUGCGAGCGGUAUCCGGAUUUAUUGGGUUUAAAGGGUGCGUAGGCGGAUUUUUAAGUCAGCGGUAAACUGUCCG